AGAGUUUGAUCCUAGCUCAGGAUGAACGCUGGCGGCGUGUCUAAGGCAUGCAAGUUGAGGGAUCGGCUUUUUCUUCGGAGAAAGUACGGACCGGCAAACGGGAGAGUAACACAUUGGUAACCUACCUCUAAGACGGGGAUAGCCCACCGAAAGGUGGAUUAAUACCCGAUAGACAUGGGGGGACAUUAAGUCAUUCCUAUGUAAAGAUUUAUCGCUUAGAGAGGGGCCUAUGGCUUAUCAGCUUGUUGGUGAGGUAAAAGCUCACCAAGGCUAUGACGAGUAGCGGGUGUGAGAGCACGACCCGUCUCACUGGGACUGCGACACUGCCCAGACUCCUACGGGAGGCUGCAGUCAGGAAUAUUCCGCAAUGCGCGAAAGCGUGACGGAGCGACGCCGCGUGCAGGAUUAAGGCUUUCGGGUCGUAAACUGCUUUUCUGUCUGAAGAAUUUGUGACGGUAAGACAGGAAUAAGAGGUUGCUAACUCUGUGCCAGCAGCAGCGGUAAUACAGAGACCUCAAGCGUUAUCCGGAUUCAUUGGGCGUAAAGCGUCCGCAGGUUGUUUAGUAAGUUAACGGUCAAAUUUUUGGGCUCAACCCAAAAACUGCUAUUAAUACUGCUAAACUAGAGGCUGGGAGAGGCAAGCGGAACUACCGGUGUAGUCGUAAUAAGCGUUGAUAUCGGUAGGAACACCAAAGGCGAAGGCAGCUUGCUAGAACAUGCCUGACACUCAUGGACGAAAGCGUGGGUAGCGAAUGGGAUUAGAUACCCCAGUAGUCCACGCCGUAAACGAUGUGCACUAGGUAUUGGCAGUAUCGACCCUGUCAGUGCCGUUGAAAAAAGCUAACGCGUUAAGUGCACCGCCUGGGGAGUACGGUCGCAAGACUAAAACUCAAAGGAAUAGACGGGGAUCCGCACAAGCGGUGGAUCAUGUGGUUUAAUUCGAUGGUACGCGAGGAACCUUACCUGGGCUCAACUACUAGCUGCACGGCUCCCGAAAGGGAGUCAGCCUUCGAGGGUGCUAGAUAGGUGCUGCAUGGUUGCCGUCAGCUCGUGCCGUGAGGUGUACCGUUAAGUCGGGUAACGAGCGCAACCCCCAUUCUGUGUUAAAUGUACACAGAAGACUGCCUUCGCAAGAAGGAGGAAGGUGGGGACGACGUCAAAUCAGCAUGGCUCUUACGUCCAGGGCGACACACAUGAUACAAUGGCCAGUACAAAGGGUUGCCAAACCGCGAGGUGGAGCUAAUCCCAUCAAAACUGGUCUCAGUUCGGAUUGAAGGCUGCAAUUCGCCUUCAUGAAGUUGGAAUCGCUAGUAAACGCGCAUCAGCCACGGCGCGUUGAAUACGUUCUCGGAUCUUGUACUCAAUACUAAAUGCGCCUGGCAGCGUAUAUAUCUAAGAGGUUAAAAUCCUCUCCUCUGCAAUCCCGUCGCAGAGCGUAGCCGAAAGAUAGGACUAUAUCCGUAAGGAGUAGUCUGAAGG
rnacentral:rRNA from 1 species